CUGCUGUACGGAAGUUAAAAUAUGCAGAUGAACUGUAAUUCUUAUCCAAUUACUUCAGUAAUCAAUGGAAUUAUCGAUAGAAUACUUAAUUACUAAAGUUGCAGCCCUAAUUUAAUUUGCUCCUUUAGGACAGCACCACCACAACAUGUGAGAGAGAUGUAUGCUCAAGGCAUGAUUGAAAAGUUCCCAAACCUGCGUGAUCCUUAUUCCAAAAAUGGAUAUGAAGAUUUCUAUUAUGGUUAAAGUGGCUACUUAGCAUGGAGGCUUAAAAUCAUCCAGAGGAAGAGCACCUUAUCAGAGGGGAGAAGAUCAUCAUGUCAGCUGACUGGGUGUGGACCAACAGCCAGAGGAGAUGCUUCAUUUAACCCUAAGGUGACCCUAAGAGAAGAGCCAUAUAAGGAAGCUAAUUCCUUCAUGAAAUACUCUUCUGAUGAGGCCGCCAUCAGGAACAAAAUGAAGAUGAUGUUUGAUUACCAUUGCAAGAUGGUCCUGGACGAAAAGAGAUCAUCCAGCGUCUUGACUGAAUUUCCUCGCUUCAGAGAUGUCAGAGGCUUGAUUGAGCAAGACUUCAUUCUGGAAUUUGGAGAAGAUGUAGCUACCAGGUUUUUGGAGAGGUGGCCGACUGUUUUCAAGCAUAAAGUGAUCCAGCAGAGCAAGACUCUCCCUACCUCAACCGACCUUGAAGAAGUGAUCUACUGUGCUGAAGGAGCU